UCUCCACUUUCCUAUGCAAGGGAAGACUUUCAGUUCUUUGGGGAUUUCCGGGACACUGAACAGCAGAGACCAGAAACCCAGGAGGCUGAGGAGAGAGGCAAGGUCAGGCUACCCAAGAACCAGCCUGACUGUACAUUGGAAUCCCAGACCAAAGAACUACAAGGAUGAUCUUACUUUGCAUUUUGUGGGUGUAGAGGAGGAGAGCCUGAAGUCUGCAGGUGCAGUAGCUGAAGAUAAAAUACACAGAGGUCCCGUCAUCAGCACAUUCACUACAGAAAACAUAGGCACCAAUUCGGAGCUUCCUGGGGAGAAUCAACAAAGAGAGAGAGAACUAGAUGAGAAGAAAGAGAGAGACAAGGAAUAAAAAAACUGAAGUUGGCAUGGGAGUUUAAUGAGGGUGAUGCCCAGCCAGCCAGCCCUCACACAUGAAGGUCUUCAACAACAACAAACAAC